UACGUAGGUGGCAAGCGUUGUCCGGAAUUAUUGGGCGUAAAGCGCGCGCAGGUGGUUCCUUAAGUCCGAUGUGAAAGCCCACGGCUCAACCGUGGAGGGUCAUUGGAAACUGGGGAACUUGAGUGCAGAAGAGGAAAGUGGAAUUCCAAGUGUAGCGGUGAAAUGCGUAGAGAUUUGGAGGAACACCAGUGGCGAAGGCGACUUCUGUCUGGUAACUGACACUGAGG
rnacentral:rRNA from 1 species